rnacentral:lncRNA from 1 species
GCAAGAGCAGCUUCCCCUCAUGAUUUUCCUGUAUCGUUCCUUCUCUGAAGGCAGCGCUUCAGGCUCUGCAAAACACGAAUAAGGAGGCGGCCGCAGUCGGGAAGCAAAACCCGCCCGCCGCGCUGCCCCGCCAGGGAGCCCGAGGACCAACGGCUGCCGCCGCUUCCCGCCCCGCCCGUUGCCUCACGGCGGCCACCAGCCUGGGCGCGGGGCGGCACGCAUGCGCGGGGACGCGAACUUGUUGCUUGGGCCGAAUAGCUCUGUCAUGUGCAGCCUUCUUGUAGAGGUGUGAUAUCCCCAAAGUAGUGCACCUAGGCCUGUGAUGAGGACCUACGGUCUUUGAUUUCAAAGGAUAGAGCUUUUUGGGGUAUGCUUUCUUUAUGAAUUUAUCAGUCAGAAGCGUGUUCUACAUGGAGCAUGUUUUUGUCCAAAGUAGAUAAGAACUAUCAUGUUUAUAAGGUCCAAGAAAAGCAGUGCUUGAAGCUGAAAGCCUCAAAAUAAGAGGGCAGUUGUAUGUGCUGAGUAAAAGAAGGUGUUUGUAUCAGUAGCUGAGUCUGGUGUGGUCUUGUUGUCUACUAAAUAAUUUGAACAAGUCAAUUGAAUAAAAUGAGAUAAAUGGCUGUUCUCUUAGAAAAAUGAAAAUAUUCUUUUGUGUUAACAAUGUACUGUAGUCACUGUGCUGUUCUCUUAGCUAAAUUCUCCUAUUAAAAAGGAAAACGUGCAAUAUCCAAAGGACAGAGAAAGAGGAAUGUAUUUGUGUAGUAAUUCUUUCCAGGAGAAUUAGUGACAAUUUUGUUAAUGAUCUCAAGGCCUUGACAUUUACAAGCCAGUAUGGUCACACAUGCUCAUCAACUAGGAACAAAGUAUUUGAACUGCUAUAAUGUGUUAGAAUGUCUAGUGCCCUGUAUUACUCCUACAGUCAGAAUCCAGCCUGAAAUAAAUAGUUUAAUGUUACAGAUUAGAUGAUGGAAAAGUUUGUGUGCUCUUCAGUAGCUUUCCUCAGGUGUCUGUGGAGGGUGGGAUCAGUUUGAUGUCAGGCAUUCUCACUUGGGCACUGCCUACAAUUGAGUCUAUCAAUUACUGCGAAAGUAUUUCCCAGAUAAAG